UGGACGACGCACGACCAGAUACAAAUGACGUCACAUGUUGGGAAAUCCAUGUUUUAGCUCCGCCCCGCCGCCGGAGGGACGUGCAGCAGAGGACUGCACAUAACAAUGAAGAUGCAGCCAUACUGUCAUAAAAAGUUUUUACCAGACUCCUUAACACCCCAAAGGACCUAAGUCUCAGUAAGUGGAGACGACUACGACCCUACUUAUACAGGAAGUUUAUUAUCUGUACGCUCCCACCAUCUCUGGAUGUUCAGCAGUGUGUUCUGAAGCAUCGUCCUACUGAAGUUCAUCACCAUCUCCUUCAUCUUGUACUCAUUUUCUUCUGAUACAUGUACAAUUUGUGUAUCAUCAUGUUUAAUGGUCUAAUGUUUUAUUUAUUAUAAUUUACAAACCCAAAGGAUUAACUGCGUAUGCUUGCAGACAUUAUGCACAAAUAAAUAAAAACAACUUCAACGUACUUUCAUUGUGAUUCAUGAUCUUUGCUUUUAUUAAUAACAAUACUUAGUUAUUAAACAAAACAAAACAAAAAAACAAUAAAAAAUAAUAAUAACACUGUAAUUAGGACACAGCUGUCUCUUCUGUGUCACUGGGAGAAGAGAGGUUGCUGGUUGGUCUGGGUUAGUAAAACAUAAAAUGGUGGUGGAAUGAGGGUGAGUUUCAAAGGAAGUUAUUUAUAAAGAGGAGAGAAGUAAGAUGAUGGAUGAGGCAGUGGAUGGAGGAUGUGAUGUAAAGGCGGAGACAAGGAAGAAAACGAGAAGGCUUGGAGACAGGAGAGAGAGCUUCCCAUACAUUACAGAUAAGGCACUUGACAUACAACAAAAAUCUUUAAAGCAUAAAAACAAAAUUGCAACUCAUCUCAUGAAUUUUUCACAAGUCUUAAAACUCAAACACUGAACUGCUAAAAAAAUUGAUUACAAUAUCUUUAACCUCCUUGACGUCAAAUACCUGUAAACCCGUUUCAUACACAGAAUCAUACCUAAAAUCAUUCACAAAGGUCAACACUGAAAGUCUAACCCAGGUUAACAAACAUAACCGAGGCUACUAGGCAGUGAAUCGAAGAAAUCUGGUUCAUAUUUGUAAAAUCUGGAAAUGGUUGACGGUCCCAUUCCAUUUGACUUAGUAAAACUCCAGGAUCUCAACAUGGUGACCCACCUUCCUUUGCGAUGAUUUUCGUGAGAGUCAUCGGCUUUCAGUGGGUGGCAUCAUCAGGGUGAUUCAAGACUCAACCGGUUCAAACAGCUCCAGCCAAACCAGAGAGAGGAAAAACAUUCAGCUCUGUCCACACUUAGCAGGAAGCUGUGAUUUCUAUUGCAGUUUGUGCUCAGCACUGAUUUCUGAAGAAUUAAGAACCUUUGCAGGUCAGACAUCUGUUUUCUGUGUGUGUUGUUUGGAAGCAGGAAUUGUACGCGAUGAGCUAUACUGGAUUAAGAAAGCAAGAACUUUCUUGCUUUAUUCGCAAAAAAAUGACACCAAAUUUACUCCUUAAGCUUUCACAACGCAGACUACUUCAUGAAUGGCACAGGCUGCAUUGGAGAGCAGAGGCACACAGUCGUACUUAAGUAAGUUAUUACAGUAUACUGUAUACCGAUAGACACUGUGUGUGUGUGUGUGUGUGUGUGCAAAGAUGUUGCAAUAGCUGAACAUUUAAUUGCAUAGACAUAAAAUUAGUGGG